GAUGAACGCUAGCGGGAGGCCUAACACAUGCAAGCCGAGCGGUAGAGAUUCUUCGGGAUCUUGAGAGCGGCGUACGGGUGCGGAACACGUGUGCAACCUACCUUUAUCUGGAGGAUAGCCUUUCGAAAGGAAGAUUAAUACUCCAUAAUAUAUUGAUUGGCAUCGAUUGAUAUUGAAAGCUCCGGCGGAUAGAGAUGGGCACGCGCAAGAUUAGCUAGUUGGUGAGGUAACGGCUCACCAAGGCGAUGAUCUUUAGGGGGCCUGAGAGGGUGAUCCCCCACACUGGUACUGAGACACGGACCAGACUCCUACGGGAGGCAGCAGUGAGGAAUAUUGGGUCAAUGGGUGCAAGCCUGAACCAGCCAUCCCGCGUGAAGGACGACUGCCCUAUGGGUUGUAAACCUCUUUGUAUAGGGAUAAACCUACCCUCGUGAGGGUAGCUGAAGGUACUAUACGAAUAAGCACCGGCUAACUCCGUGCCAGCAGCCGCGGUAA
rnacentral:rRNA from 1 species